rnacentral:rRNA from 1 species
GCCUACGGGAGGCAGCAGUAGGGAAUUUUCGUCAAUGGGCGCAAGCCUGAACGAGCAAUGCCGCGUGAACGAGGAAGGUCUUCGGAUCAUAAAGUUCUGUUGAAGGGGAAAAAGAGCGGAGAGAGGAAAUGGUCUCCGAUUGAUAUUACCCUUCGAGGAAGUCACGGCUAACUGCGUGCCAGCAGCCGCGGUAAUACGUAGGUGGCGAGCGUUAUCCGGAAUGAUUGGGCGUAAAGGGUGCGUAGGCGGCCUGCUAAGUCUGGAGUGAAAGGUACCGGCUCAACCGGUACAGGCUCUGGAAACUG